rnacentral:lncRNA from 1 species
AGUAAGGAGGAAGCUGUAUGUAUAUAUGUACAUAUGUAUGUGCAUAUGCGUAGCCACAACUGCAUGACGGCCAUGAGAAGAGCACCUCUCCCUGCUUCCUUCUCUUUCUCUCUCUUGUUACUUGUCGGUGCUUAGGAAAUGGCGGGGAGAAGUUACUAUGUGAAAUCUUAUGACUUGCUCACCUAUUAAUGGCUUUGACCUGCCUGAUCUGAUUAUAAAUACUCGAAUCUGCCUUUAACUGCCUAACCUGCCCAGAUUCUAAUCUGUUUACCAUGCCUAUGGGUGUGUUUUUCGCUUAGAUAGGAUGUCUCGACACUCCUUAUGCAACCAAGCCGCAUAUGGGGGACUUGGGCCCUAAGAAAGGCAGAAAAGGUGCCAUCUUAGCCUAGACAGCGAUCCUUUAGAGCAGUCUUUACUCGCAUAAAACUAAUGACUAAUCAUUCACCAAAAUUAAAACUGAUGAGUAAUGACUAACAUGAAAUAACAUGAACCUUAAAAAAAUGGAGCCUAUCAUUAAAUUGGAGAUUGGAGAAGCAAUAUGGUGUUAGUUUGUUCGAGUACUGUUUGGAAAUGCUGCAGCUUUGCAAGAAUUCAGUGUACAAGGCAAUAAGUCAAAAUAUGCAAUUACAAUGUUUUAUGAUCCUCUAGCAAAAUAUGUAAAUAUGAUUAAGAAGUUUGUUUACACAUAAUACUUUAAAUCAUACAACAUUUCUAACACCCUCCUCAAAGUUGCAACAGAUUGACAUGCAUUGAGAGCGUUCUGUACUGUGGAUCUUUGUGAAGUAGUCUGCCAAUUUCUUUGUAGAUUGGGCAUAAUGAAGUGGUAGAUAUGAAGACAGAAGUUUCAAAUGAGGUGCUAGUCAAUCUUAAUGAGCUUUUCCCUCUCUGCAUAAGCCCAAAAUGCUGCCAAUUCAAAUGUCAGUCUAGUUAUUACUCUUGAAGUGGAGUGAUGAGCACAAUAGUGAUGUCACGGAAAAGGCACUGAGAUAGAUGAAGUCCAUUGCAUCAUAAGCCACUAAAAAAAAGACUCCAGGAUUUUCUUUUUUCUCUUAAAAAUGGAAAGCCUAAUUUCAUUCUAAAUGAUUGAUGCUGCCUACUAUUAUAAUAUUAUGCACAAGAGCACCUACAACUGUAGGAACUCUGAUGGAGACUAAUAUGAGUAGUUUUUUACUUUUUCUAGAGAUGUUUGAUCGAGGUAUGUAUGCUGGACCUGUUGGUUGGUUUGGAGGAAGAGAAAGUGAAUUUGCUGUUGGGAUCAGAUCGGCUUUAGUGGGAAAGGUAAGGAUAAACAAAGGCUUCUUUCUGCAAAUGCUUCAAACCUGGAAAUGUAGAUUUGGAAUUUAAUGAGUGUAAUGCCUGCUAACAUAUGGUUUGAUCAGUCCUAACAUACCCUAACACUUUAUGGCCAAAAUACACCACUACCUAUGUUCUGUCUUCAUUCAGUUCUCUUCAGAUUUAUAUUAUAUAUUUUGGAUUAUUUUCUGGUUUGAAUCUUAAAUAUGAUAUUUGAGCUAAGUAGUCCUAAAGCAAAUAACACUGUUGAGACAGUUGAGAUGAAAUCUGUUGGUUUUGGUCAUGAAAAUAGAUAGGAUCUUGAGAUCCUAGUUAAAAACCAUUAAAUUGAUUCUAGCUAGGUAUUUUAGAACUAAUGCCCUUCUGGAAUCGGCAUGAAACACCUUAUUAAUUCAUCAAACUGCAGAGGAUUUGUCUUUUUAACCCAAUAGGAAAUUACUGUUUCUUUAUAAAGUAUAGGUAAUUUGUUUAUAAGAUAUCAACAAAAUAGUAGAGUAUAAAAAAGUAGGAUAAAAUAGCAGUAAUUUUUAAUAAGAGAUAAUCGAUGGAAAGUUUCAAAAUCCUCCUUUUAACCAUGAACCAAGAUAUCAAACUAGCAACAAAAGUCAAGCAAACUUGUACAGCAUGAAAUCAUCCUUUAGAGCAUCUACUAUGUCUGUUGAAAGCCGAAGAAAUUCAUGUGAGGGAAGCCUAAUAGGUUCUUACAGACGGUGCAUGUGUACUACCUUGAGGAGAUGAAGAUAAUGAUGCUAAAAGAAAAGGAAACAAGGAAUUAUGAAGAUCUUAGCGAAGAGUAUAAUUAACUGGAUGUAACUUGUAGAUGUAGAAGAAUUGCUAGUUUGUCCUUACUCUUUUCAUUCCACACCCAAUCCAACAUCUCAUAAGGUAGAAAUGAGUUAUGUAAUUUCAGAAUUUGUAGGUAUUGAAGGUGUGCUGUAGGAAGAUGGUAUAAGAAAUUUACAGGACAAAGGAUUUUACAAGGAAAAAUGUGUUGCAGUUUGCAAUACUUUGAAAUAGAAGUUUGGUUUUGGUCUUUGCAAGUAGUAAUCUAAAUCCCCCCCAACUUUUUGGUAUGAGCUAGCUUGCCUGCUAUCGUCUGCCCAAUUUAUAAAGUUCGCAUGAUGUUUAACAAAAGCUAUUGAUUACUUACACAAUUUAGUUAUUCCUUGGAUUCGUAGGCCAUGUAGAUCAUCCUACUUUAUUCUUAAAUUUGUGCAUUAACUGAAGUUGUUGAAGGACAUCUAUAUAACAUAUUGUUGAAGAAUGAUAUAUUGAUUUCAGUACUAUUGCAAAAUUUCACAUUGUAGCUGAAAACUAGAGGUUCUAUCCUUUAAAAUAAAAGGGGUCCAAAUGGUCAAGUAUCUUAUUCACAAUACUUCCACAAAUUGAUCUUUUCUGUUAAAAUGCUUCAGAUGUAAGCAUAGCAGCAUAUUAUUUCAUCAUCGACUUCAUGCAAUACAGCUUUAUAAUCUUAUAGCUGUUGAACAGAAUUGGAAGUAUAUUUAAAACGAAUCUAUUGGUGUUUUUCUUUAUGGCCCUAGAUAUAAAUGAAAUAGGAUAUAUUAACUUGACCGCAUAUUAUGAUAUUAUUCUUAUGUUUUUUUUUUCUUUGCAUUUAUUGGCUAGUAAUUUUUUAUGCUCAACCUGCUUUACCUAUGUGUAUUGCAGGGUGUUGGCACAUUGGUCUAUGCUGGUGCUGGGAUCGUUGAAGGAACUAACUCAUCUUUGGAAUGGGAUGAACUAGAUCUGAAGGCAUCCCAGGUCUCUCUCUCUCUCUCUCUCUCUCUGGCGUUUAUGUAUGUACGCAUGUGGCAAACUGCAUACACUGCAUGCUCCCACUUUUUUCCCUAUUUAUAUAUAUAUUUAUUAAGAUUAAUGCAUGAUUCUGUUUAUAUUGUUUUCCAUUUUUCUCAGUUCACAAAGUUGUUUGAACGUAAAGAAGUACCUGAUGCUUGCUAUCAAGAGAUGAACAUGGGCUCCGCCAACUGAGCAGGUGACUCGUGACUUUCUGUCGUUGCUAAAAUUUUUUAUGAAGACUCGCGAGUCUCUCAUUUGGAUGCAUAAUAAAAUAUUUCUUUAAGAGAAAAAAAUGGUUUAUUUCUGGUCUUCUUGCUCGAUAAUCCAUGUCUCUGGCGAGUUCCUGUUGUAGAUUACUCAUACAGAAGAUUCCGAGGCUGUGAUGACUAGAGAUGCAUGAUGUACUUUAAAUGUUCUUUCUUACAUUAUAUGAAGGCCAAGUAUUUUUUGAGAGAUAAUUUGUUAGUAAACACGACUUUUCUUCUUUAAUCCUUUCUAAACAUUGUUUUUUUUUUUUUAACCAUUUGAACAUUGUCUUUUUUUAACUCGAGAAAAAUAAAAUUAUACUAAAAGAGUGGCUUUAUGCAUGUUUAGUGUUCGAUACAUAGACUUGGGAGAUAAUGGAGGAAAAUUUAAUAGGGGACUGUUUCUUUGAAAUUACUUCGUUUGUUCUAGCCGUGAAUGAUGCUGUUCUCUAGUUGUAAAUGAUGAUGUUUGCCUUUUCAUUUGAUGGUGCUUCAACGGGAUUUGUUGUUAAUGGCAGGCACCGUUGUGGAGGUGGGUGAUUGAUAGAUUGGCUGCUGGUUCAGCUUUUUCCUCCUUUUGCGGUGGACGUGCAUGACGAAUUCUGGCAGUUGAAAGUCUUGAUUAAGCUGAAGAAGAAGGAUCUGCUUUCCCGAGGGAAUUGCAGAUUUCCAAACCUUGUAGCCGGCAUAUACUUUGGUAAUAACUUAAACCAUUAUGUAUGUACAGACAUUUUGGUAUGUUAUUUUACUGUAAACAACACUCCAAGUCAGUUGCCAUGCGUAUAUGGCUUUGCCGAUGGUCCUGAGAGCCUGUGAUGGCCCCACUCAUGUUAAGCAAAAAAAUUGAUUUGGUGAGCCGAGCCCAUCCAUAAAAUACCAGCAGCCCUCUGGCCUAGCUUGGGGAAUUUAAUUCUUCCCAUUUAUCCCAAGUCAAGGUUUCCCUUAUCCGAGAAUCGGACAAAGUUUGGAAUUCUCUUUUGCAAGCUUGGAAGAUGCGAAGAAUUGCUUUUCAUCUGCGACUAGCAUGAGCGCCGAUGAAGAAAAGUUUGGAAUAAGCAGUCGCGGGCGCAACCUCGGGACAAGGAUUGUAUAUUUAUAUUUAUAUUUAUAUUUAUAUAUAUAUAUAGAGAGAGAGAGAGAGAGAGAGAGAUGCCACUCGCAUGCAAACCAACAUCAACGCUAGUUUGCUCUCGACUCCAAAUGGCUUGCACGCAGAGCUGCACUUUUUUUCAGCCAGCCACUCAAUGGACGCAGGAUCCCGAUAAACAUAUACUACGCGUUUGCCUCCCAGGUAUGAGCAUAUAACCAUCACUGGGUUUUGGUUGCUUACCCCACACUCCAAUUAUAUGGAUCCCAUACUGAGAUGCACCGCCAAAAGUUUUGGUUACUGGUUAUUAGCACCAUCAGGACAAGCCCCAGUUCAUUUCAUUACGACUACCACUAUGAUUUUUUUUAAUAUUUCAACAAUGCAUUGCACUCAGCUCCAAACAAAGAGAAGCAAAAAAAAAAUCCUUGAUUUUUUUGAUGCCAUGCAGGCAUCGGUCACGUCAAUCCUUAACGAGCGUCGGAUCGUUUUUUUUCCUUGUUUUUUAACCUUAUUCUAGUGGGAGAAUCAUUGGAGGGGUGAGUGGUGACAAGAAAUCAGGAGAUCCUGAUAUUUUAAAUUCUUAAUGGUUUCUUUGUGACAAUCCAUAUCCCCACCUAAAAAGACUACCAGAAGAAUGGAUUCUUUAGUCUCAUAAAUAUCUAGCUAUCGAGGGGCUAAAUACAUGCAUGCAUAAAUUCUUGACAUUCUAUUUAAACUAAUGUUCAAAUUUAUUCAAAUUCAAUCAUAAGCUGUGGCGGGGCGGCUUUUUUGUUUAACAAUAAGACCUGGACGAUUAUCCCUACCCUCGGUAGCUUACGAGUUUACGUCCAUCCCUGGUCGGGUACAGUUUCCCAGGUCAUGAUUAACUCAAAUAGACCUAUAUUGCAGUAUCUUCUAGUCCACGUAAACUAUGACCGGCUCUACUCCAAUACUAUUUAUGGCAAUUUAGAAACCUCAUCUAAAAAAAAUUAAUUAAAAUAUAUUAUUUAGAUUUCUCGACUCAAUAAAACAUUAACGUACCGUCUCAUGUCAUCUAAUCACAUGAAAGGCAUAUUGGUCAUUCCAAAUCUAAUCUCUCUCUCUCUCUCUCUCUCUCUCUUCUUUUCUUUUUUUCCCCCUUUUCUUCCUAAAAUAAAGGUUUCCAAAAGGAUGAAAUCAAGGUCCAGGUUGACUGCUGUGGGAAGCUAACAAUAAGGGGCGGGAGGCCACUCGGUGAUGGCAAAUAUAUGCGUUUGGAGCAGGUUUUUGCCGUUCCUAAAGAUUCACAUGUUGAUAAGAUCCGAGGGAAAUUUGAAGAAGCACAUCUCUGUUUAUUCAUGCCAAAGAAGGUGGUGUCAGAAAAGCAGGAACCUCAAAGGGCUGCUUCAUGCGAAAAAAAGCAAGUGGAAGCCCCACCCGAGAAGCCAAGCAGCAGCCUGGUCGGGGCUGACAGACUCGAAGAAUGUAAAAAGAAAGCGGGGGCUUGGAAAUUAAGAAUUGCAGAGAAUGUGGAAGGGUGGCUGGAUUACGGAUUGAUAGAUGGAUUACUGGAGACAAUCAGCAAGAACAAAAAGGCCAUCGCUGUAGGUGCUGCAGCCUUCUCCGUUGGCUUUUAUGUAUCCGGAAAACUGAGGUCAAGUGGAAGAUGAGCACAUCCACCAGCCUUCUGCAGUUGACUUUCCACAGUAUAACUUGUAAAGUCCUAAAAUACAGCAACUACUACAAUUAUUUUGCUCUGCACUAAGAUCAAAGUGUGUGAAAAUUACUUAUCAAUUAUUCUCAUUUCACCCACGGGUAAGGGGUGUUUUAUAAAGUACUGGAAUACAACUUUUAAAGAAUAAGUUCUCUAGAUAUGAUGAAGAUUGAUAUAAACUUUACACGUCAAUCAUAAUAAACUAAUAAUUUGGUUAGAGUUGAUGCUACAUACAAUUCAAGUUGCCUCCUUCCUUCACCAGCCAAACUCCAUUUCUUAGGACUGCUUGAUGGCUCAUAAUAUCCUGGCCCAAUCUUGACUGCAAUCUUCUCACCAAUCUCAGCUGCAUAGACAUCCCUCUCUGCCUUUGUUAUCUUGAUCUGAAACAUGCAAUUAGUUGUGAAAUUCAGAACGUGGAAGGCUAAAAUGGCACUAUUUAGGCAGGCAUUGCACAUGAAAAGCAAAGAAACGAGGUGCUCAUUUGGACAUUUCAUACAGGAUUCACUGUCGGUCAGAAGUGAAAGCCAUUCUAAAUAACUAAUCAUGCACUCAAUCAUAAUCAAACUUCUCUCGCUGAAGAUCAAAACUUUAAACACCACGAGGGAAAUAACUUUUCUGUUUUCUUUUAUUCUAUUUUUCUUUUUUGGAUAAUGUUUUGAUCAUGAUAAAUAUUGCUCUACAUGAGGGAAACAGACCAAUCAAAGCAUCCAUGAAAACUUAGCACAGAAUGUGUGGUCUCAAAAAGUUAUUUUUAUAUAUCCUAUCCAUGUAUAAUAAGGGAUCAUUCUUUACAAGUUUCAAACAUCUAAAAAUAAAUAAAGGUGUCUUUAUUUUGAUGUACGGCAUCCACUCCAUACUCUUGGAGUGAAUCUUCUUCUGAUGUCUGAGUGAGAUUAAUCUAGAAAUUUCUUGCUGAUGGUGAGAAAAUAUGUGGUCAUGAAAAACUGCAGGUGGGCCAGGAUGUGUCAGGAUGUAGGCAUACCCUUGCAUCUCCUUACCAGAUGGGAAUCUCCAAUGACCCUGUUGAAAAAACAAGGUACAACAUGAAAAGAAUUCCAUUAUUAUGAGACAAGGAAAGUCAGAUUUAGAUAUUUAAAUAAUCUAACUUGUUUCUGACAUUGUGUUAAGGGAUGUAAAUUCUCAAUAAACAUCUUUACAGAUAUACAAGGCUUAAAUAUUUAACAUAACCUAAUGGUUUUUUCAUAAGCAAACAGCUAGACAUUCAAUGGCAAUGUUUUUCCUUCAUUCCAAGUAUUGUAUCCAUAAGAUAGCAAUCGAUUCAUUGUUCACAAAGAACUACAAAUACUGAACUCCAAAUGUACUGUUGGUUCUGGCAUGUGAAUUUUUCCUAAAAUGCCCUUUAUUUUCAAAGAAAUGCAAUUUGAAAGUUGAUACGAAAAAAAUAAUGCUUGAGGAAGUGACCUUAGUGGUUGAUCUGUUUCUUCGCAUGACAUUUUAAACAAAGAUAAUUUGGAAGAGCAUCUAUAAGAAAACUAGAAAUAUGACCUUUUAUGGGUGGGUCAACAACAGUAAUCAAGGUUCACCAAACCAUUACCGGAGAUCAUACCUGCCGGCGAUGGGUUUGGCACAAUAUAAAUCCAUACCAUACUGUGAGGGAGGGAGAGAGGCGGAGGGGCUUACCUGGGCAUCAGUCAAGAUCGGUGUCAAAGAGGAGCCUGACAAGCGACCAAGCAAGCAGGAUGAGUGAUCGGGUGAGCAACAGAGCUUCGAAGCCUUGAUCAUAGUGGAAUGGGGGCAUUUAGGGCCUGAGCCUUUAAAGGGGCUGAACCAACCCAACCGCCUAAACCAUUCUGAUUUUUGACCGGUUCGGUUCGUCCAGCUUGGGUUGGUUUAGCCUUCCUAGACAAUAACAGUAGCUCUAGUGGUGAACCAAAUAGUUAUGAAAGAAAGGCAAGAAUGGAGCUCGAAGUAGGAAACGUAGGUUAUAUUUCUUAAAUAUUCAUUCAAUUUGUAUAAUUGUAUUGUUCAAGUUUUCUGCUGGUUGGACUGGGUGAUGUUUGAUGUAGGAUGGUCCUUUAUACUAAGUUUUGGGCUUUUACCUCCACUUACUAUGAGUCCAUAUUGACUAUCACAGUGCUGGGCUGGGCUGAUAUUGUGCCAGCCUGUUUCAUCUAUGACAUUGUCUAUACUCUCUAGUGUGUAGAUUCGAGUCAAGUCAUGUGGAUCAAUCUACUGGCAGGUUUGGAUUUGGUAAUCCUCAAUAGCAGACAGUGGAUAGGAAUCUGACUUUUAACCAGUGUAGACUGAAACCAUGAUGGUUAAGUUUAUGAUAUUUGUAAACAGUGCUGAAAUGAUCAAUGCACCAUGGAAAAAUUGAAAGCUGGUUUUGUAAUUUAAUCAGUGCAUUUUAUGUAUCUAAAGAAGAAACAAAUAAUAUCAAAUGGUCGCAACUCAAUUAAAGAUGUGUACAUAAGAACAAAAUUCUUUCUAUUCCAACCAGUGCAAACAAUUAGGGAUAAGCAAAGACAAUAUUGUUAAAGAGUAGAACAGAAAAAGAAAAAGAAAGGCAUAAUGCUGAAACCAGGAAUGGAGACUAGGUCAAAAAUGGCAAUAAAAAUUUAAGCUAACAAGCUUAACAUAGGUCGGUAAGUAAAUAGAGAAUGGAUACCAAAAAGGUACAUUCAACAUAAAGAAAAGGGACGGUGACCAAGAAAAACUAAAAUUAGUCCAUGAAUUGUUCAUGUAUUCAUUAGGAGUUUUAAGAUAUGCAUCUUCCUUGCUUAACAGUGUCAAAUCAAGAGAAAGAACUCUAGAUACACUUUUGUAACUAUUUUGAGAAUUUACUAAUAUUAAAAAGAAUCAAGUUAAAAUGGAUAAAUUAGGAAACUUUCACUUUAGACUAUGUUGUUUUCCAACAUGUAGAAAAAUGAAACUAUGAAAUAUCUCAAGAGGCAAGAUAACUUUAGGCAUUUCAUACCAUAGUAGAGACAGUAUCAUGAUUCUCUAUAAAUGUAACUGCAUGAGAUGGCCACCAACCUACAACCCCAAGUGGCUUCCCCUUUUGAUCAGAUAAUCGCCAAUACUCGCACAUUUCCAAGUCCUAGAAGAACAAAAUAGCCCGUUAAGUUAUAAUUGACCGAAUGACAUUUUUAUGAAGCAAUUAAUGAUUAUAAGCUUAACUUGAACUCAGAUGUAUUGGUAGUUGCCACUAUGGGAAAUGGGUGUGGAAAAUUGAUAGAAGAACAAGAAGCAUGAGAUGAACACCAAGAUAAGUUCUCAAAUAGCAUAAGAUGCAUUCUCCAUACAAAAAAUGAAGAAAGCAUCUUGUGGUUCACUAAGAAACUCCGUUUCCACAGGAAAUUUCUGAACUCUCAGAGAUCCUAGGCAUUCCCCCAUUUGUGGCCAAGACAUCACAAAGACUUCUAGGAUAACCGGAAGUUUCCAACUUUCCAUGAAUCAGUCAUGCUGAAAUCCAGAAAUACAAAGUUAAAGAGCAUGCACUAAUCUUGUCAUCAUCAUCAUCAUCACCAUUUUGUGCAUCUGUGUUUGGAUGUGUGCAGUCAUAAGGAUAUCGCAAUUUACAGCUAAAUGCAAUAUUGCAAUACAAAACUCAAUGUAACCCUGUGAACAGUUUUAAUAUAAGUCAAAAUUUGACUGAGACACUUCAUAUAGCAACUUGACUAUCCUGGUCAUACUGCCCACCACUCUUAUGAAGUUUUAUUGCAUUUUAAAGCACCAUUCAAGCAAGGACAUUGCAUAAAUUUGAAAGUUAAAGCACAAGUUCUCAGAAAAUGAUGCUCCACAUUUACCAAUAGGGCACAGUAGACAAACAGAUGUUAGAUUGAAAGUAUAACUAUAGAUAUUUUAGGCAUUAAUACCCAUUAAAAGCUUUAAGGCUCAAUAUCAUAUAAGUUGAUGGACUGGUCAACAUAAUGAUCUUGCUCAUAUGAUGAUUGACUAAUGUGUAAAUCCAUGUCAGUCGCAUCAUUAAGUUAGUGCUCCCCAGCAAGAAUAAAUGACAGCAGAACUAGCAACUAAAUUUUAAAAAUUAUCUCUAUGUUCUUUAAUUGAUAAUAUAGAAAUGUUUAUUUAUAUAACUUCUAAGUGUUCCUUAUUUAAGUCAGAGCAGUAUAAGUACCAAAAUAAUAGCAAAAGAUCUAGACCAUAUGAAAUGGUUUUCAGCAUUAGGAUCACAUAAUCCGCCAGCCUCAGAGCUGAGAUGAGCUUCAAUAGAUAAGCAUGUUAUAGUUCUCUAACGAGUAAAAUCUGCUGUGACUUCAAAAGAGAAAAGUGGGAUGUUAAAAAGAUAAGGAAAAGAGAGUCAACAGAUCUUACAGUGUGAAGGAUUCCUUUAGUAGUGACAUCAAAGGCACCAGCAGUUCCACUUGUAGCAUUUAUCCAAUCAAUGAUUCUCUGCCUGUGAGCAUCUUGAUUAUACUACUACAACAUGUAUGGAAAUCAUACCCAACAAGAGUUACAUAUCCUCCUUGGUCUAAAUCUUACAAAAGGGCCAGUCCUCCAAAAUGGAUACUGUUUUCUAUCUCUUAAUCAUAAUCAUAUUCAACCUUCUCCCAACUAUUUCAGUGCGGCUUUAUUGAUCCUAAUUUGCCAAAUUUUCCUAUUCCAUCUCAUAAUCAUAAUCAUAUGAAGCAAAACAAUAAACAAAAUAUUGGUCUUUAUAUCUUAUGCAUUCUUCUUUCAAUGAUAAAUAAGGAAAAAAUGUCACAAACAGAAAUGACAACCAAGAUGCACCAUGUCAUUUCAAAGUUCUUUAUGAAUUCAUGCUAUAUUACACUGCACAGCUUUCCAAAUAAUUUCUUUUUUUCCAAUUAUAGUUUCUUGAAGUUUCCAAAUUUAGCAUCAACAUGAUGUAGCUUACAACUUUCAUUUUGCAUUCAUUUCUUGAUAUCAGAUCCUGUAACACUUGCAAUUUUUCUUCUUUAGAAGAAUUCUGGUACAAAUAGUAGAGCAACCUUACAUCUUUAGCAAGAAAUGCAUCCUUUGAAAUAAAUAAUUUUGACAGCAACUUAAAACAUAUAAAAUGCAGUCCCUCUCUAGUGCACCUGUAACAAAGUUUGAAAGGGUCUUCUGCUGAAAAAUUUUGGUUCCUGGAGGAUAAGGGGCAGAUGGGAUUUCCCGUUUUCUGCCAUUAUCCUUACAGACUCCCCAGUGAACAACAACAUCACCAGGUAUGUAUACCAGCAUCACAAAGAAUAUUCUUCAUAAAUCCACGAAUGUGCUUAUUCUGCCGCUAAGUAACUUUGGGCAAUUCCUUGGGUUGAGAACUAGAUCGUAAAGCUUUCAGAAGCAAGCAAGAUAUGUGGUCAAAAGUCUCUGAAAACAGAAAGAAUUAAAAAUCAUCGUCACCAAGCAACUUCACAACUAUAAAGGAGCUUCUCUCCAUUGACAUAUGCUUCUAACAAAAAAAAGCCAAAAAAACAAGAUGUUGAGGAAAACUGAAUGUUAAUCACAUGGAGAAAGUGAACAACAAUUAUACAAAACCAGGACAUUCCCAUGGAGAAAAAGGGUAGCAUGUCAAUCAUUAGCAAUGAACUGCUAUUUGAGGAUUCAAGAAAAAAAGGUAUGAAGGAAAUUCUCUUUUUAGAUCAAGCACAUGCUAUUCCUAUGUCACUACAAAAUAUGUCUUAUGAAUUCUGGCCCCUAAAUCAUGAAUUUCUAACAAAUGUAUCCCGCUAGAUAUAGAGCUUCUUGUAUUGUUUUAAUAUUUUUAGUCCCUAAUAUCAUAUUAAUCUUUCUAUACAACUAUUAAGAAUCCAGAUCCUAAACAGGCUACAUGGAUGCCCAAAUACCAAACCAGUAUAAUAUCCCAUGCAAACCUUGAAUUUAUAUGAUGUGAUAGAAAUAGGGAUGAAAAUGGAUCGGAUGAUAUCCUUCUAGUUCUGACUAAUAUUGGUAAACAUAUUCAUAUCCAUCAAAGAAAAGUGGAUAUGGAAAUGGAUACACAACUGUCCAAUCCCUAUGCAAAUAUCUAAUUCCAUUUGCUGUACUAUUUAGUCUGAUAUAACUCUCUAAAAUUUCAAAAGAAAAUAAAUGAUAACAUUGAUGUCUUUAAUUCAAUUUAACAUUUUUGAUCUUGAAGCUCAUAAAGUUUAAUUAUCUGAUUUAUAUCCACAUCUAGACCUGUAUUGCCAAUGUCCGCUAUGUAUCCACAUAAGACUAAAACAAAUAUGGAUAUGGAGUCUAGUGUCCAACUAAUUUACAUAUCUGUAUCCAUGUUCACCAAAUAAAAAUGGAUACAGGUAUGGACAAACUGAUAUCUGAUAUGUUUGCAGACCUAAACAAAAAGUGGAUAAAUUAAAAAAAAAAAUGAGGAAGGCUGCUGAUCCCAAAAUCCAAAAAUUUAUGGAAACCACAAAAUUACUUUGCAAAUGGAAUAUGAUAUGACAAAAACAUUAGAGCAGUCAAUACAGCCAAACUCAAUGAUUCUACAGGAUAAAGUAGAUGGGAAUUUGCAAAAAAUCCUACGAUUUGACAAUAGUCAAUAUCUUACCGUGCAGACAUUUAGUAGGCAUUUUCUAAAGGUUCCCAGCCCCUGCAUCCAAAAGCAACCAUUUAGGCAGUCAUUUCAUGAUAAUUCGCUAAUAUACCACCCAACAAAUCAAUAAAAUAGAUAGAUGCUUGGAAAAUCUUUAUGAUGAACAAUAGAGCAUCUAAUAGAAGUAUGAAAUAAACUAAUAUUAUAAACAAUGUCCAUGGUUCAACUCCAACCUGAGUGCUCAACUCCACUUUUAAGAAAAUUACAAAAAUAUCUUUCAUAAUGUUAUCGGCUUUUUGCCCUUUCAUUCCUCUGUUCACCCUUUAUGUGCAGAGCAUGUGCUAGAUUUUAGUAAACAAAAAAUUACAACUUGAUGGUUUUACUCACGCUUAAGUAUUGUAGUUUUUCAAAGGAUAGCUAUAUUUAGAAAUUUGACAACUCAAAUAUUAAAAAGAAACAAACAGGCAUUAAGAAACUUUGCAAGUAGACUUGUAACAAUCAAAACAGAGUAAAUCUCAUACAGAUUAGACUAAACACUUUCCAUGGAUCGACAUUUAGGAACUAAUUCCAAGCAAUCGGCAAGUUUCAAGCAAUACAUCCAAAGGAAAGGUAAAAGUACCAGGUGAAUUAAAUGUUUACUUCAUGAAAAAGGAUUUGCAUUAGUAUGAAUCAUCUUUGAGGAUCCAAUAGAUCAUACAAGUCUUGAAAAGCCAUCUGUGAACAGAAAAUGCUUUGGGGCACCAGUUAGUGCACAAAAGGUUGCCUUGCUGGCUUGGCAACUCAGCAUUCAAUCAACCCCCAUACACCGCAUGAAUUCCCGUAAACUGCACAUAUCCCGUUAUGCCACAUGGCAUGCAGAUUAGAGCCAAGAGACUGCAAUUUUUAACUCAGACUAUGCAAGUCGAACUUGCACAAAAAUAGAAAUACAUAAAUCAAAAUAGAUGCAAGGGGGCAUUUAUCACUAGUUUGAUAUUAAAUAUAGAUCUAUUUUUCUUUCUUUUUUUCCCUGGUAUAUAAAUAAAAAGAUCUUACUUUCCUUCUUUUCCUUUUCUUUUUGUUUUUCUUUUCAAAGAAAGAUUCAACUAUAAAGAUAAAAAGGGUUGUGGCUUACCUUCCCAGUUCAUCACAAUAGGUGACUCCCCAGUGCAAAACCCGCUUCCCUUCCAGAUUACACCCCACCACCAGCCACCAUCUCGAUCCGUCUCCCUCCUCCGGAUCCAAUCUCACUGCUAUCUCCCCUUCGACCUGCCAUGCCCAAAACCUAGUGAAGUCAUCGUCAAUUUCAGUGUGCACAUCGGACAAGGGGGAGGGUUGGCAGUUCAUUGCGAGUCCUAGUUUUGCUAGGAUAUAUUUUUUGUGCCAGAAUAUAAGUGACUUCGGUUUUGAACAUCAUGGAGUGCUAGAUAAAGUAGGACUAGCUAGGUAUGUUAUUCUCAACAAAGGCGCUCUCCUAGCAGAUCUCUUUCUCUUAGACACAAGAAUUGUUAGCAGGAGAGUUUGACAAGGACUUAAGUCCUAUUCUAACAUGAGUUCUAGUACUUAAUUGGGAGUGGCGUGUCAGAGUAAUAGGAUCGGUGGGAGUGUAUAAAGUGGAUGUAUGAAGCUUAGGUCUUGUAGAGAAUGAGUAUGAUAGGAUCUGAGAUCCCCCCAAGACUUCUUAUGAGAAAGAAGAGAGAGUGAUGGAAAGAACGUGGGUUGGGAAGAAGAAGAGAAGAGGAUAGUUAGAAGGAAAUAUUCUCUGCCUUCAUAAGUAACAGGGAUAUGGCUUUAUAGCCUCACGUCCUACAUUGCCAACUCACCUUGGCCAUAAUUAAAAGACAACUAGGAACUGACAAAUGACAACUGGAAAAAUAACUGAUAACUCAACCCCUCAACUCCUAACAAUACGCGCACGUCUUGCAUGCCACUCAACCCACUCGACUCCUAACCAUACGCGCACGUCUUGCAUGUCUCGUACACCUUGAGUACGUGCGCCAACCCGGAGGGCAUAACUCCCGCAUCCUGUCACUCCCUGCUCCUUCAAAACGAACCUUGUCCUCAAGGUUCAUAUGAGCAAACUGCAGCUUUAACUUGUCAUAUGACUCCCAUGAAGCGUCUUCUGCUGGUAACCCAGUCCAAUGAACUAGCGCCUCCUGCACCGCAUGAUUCCCUGUUUUAGUCCAGCGGAAGUCAGUAAUCUUGAAGGGCUCAACAACUAAUUCUCCUUCUUCAGUGAAUGUCGGCAGUUGAGGAAGAGCUCGCCCGAUUUCUCCUAUCUGUUUCUUCAACUAUGAAACGUGAAAAACAGGAUGUACCCUGGCAUCUACUGGUAAGUCAAGCCUGUAAGCAACAGCCCUAAUCUUUUCAAUCACCCUGAAGGGACCAUAAAAAUGGAGUGCUAAUUUCUUGUUGCCGCCCAUCUUUAGGGAGGACUGCCGAUAAGGCUGAAGCUUGAGGUAGACCCAAUCCCCGAUUGCAAAGUCCAGUUCUCUGUGAUGUUUGUCCUGUUGCACCUUCAUUCUAUUUUGAGCAAUGUCAAGAUUAUCCUUCAACAGGCGAAGAACCUCAUCACGAGUACGCAACACUUGGUCGACCAGAGCGACACUUGUAGAACCCGUUUCAUAGCAAUGCACAGUAGGAGGUGGUCGGCCAUAAACUGCCUCAAAAGGGAUCAUCCUAGUCAAUGACUGACAUGAUGUGUUAUACCAAAAUUCUGCCCACGGAAGCCACUGAACCCAUAGCUUUUACUUAAGACCAGCAAAGCAUCUCAAAUAAAUCUCUAAGCAUCGGUUGAGCACUUCCGUUUGUCUGCCCGUCUGAGGGUGAUAGGCAGUACUCAUCUUCAAUUUUGUACCUUGUAAAUGGAAGUACUCCUGCCAAAACAAACUAAUGAACACAGGAUCCCGAUCAGAAACAAUGGAACGGGGCAUACCGUGAAGGCGUACAACCUCUCUUGCAAAGACAUCGGCCACUAUUUUAGCCGAAUGAGGAUGCUUCAGAGGAAUGAAAUGCCCAUACUUGGAGAGGCGAUCCACAACCACCAAAAUAACAGAGUAGCCAGAUGAUGUCGGAAGACCCUCAAUGAAAUCCAUGGAAACAUCCUCCCAAAUCUGAUCUGGAAUAGGCAAUGGCUGAAGCAAUCUGGCUGGUGACAUGGCCUCAUACUUGCUGUGCUGGCAUGUGUCACAAGCCAAUACAUACUCUUUCACAUCCCGCUGCAUACCCCUCCAAAAGAAACUAUCGGCCAAUCUUUUGUAGGUGUGCAAAACUCCAGAAUGACCGCCCAUUGGGGCAUCAUGAUACUCAUGUAGUAGGCGCUUCUUAAGUUGGUGGUCAGUAGGCAACACUAAUCUCCAUUUAUACCACAGAUCAUUCUCGAUGACAGAGAAGUGUCGGACCCUUGAGUCACCUGCCUGUACUUUGUCUCGGAUCUCUUUUAGUUCUAGGCUGGAUCUCGCCUCCAAGCACAACUCCGUCAGCCAUUCUGGACGUGGGUAAGUGAUGGUGGAUAAUGUAGACUCCUCAUACUGCCGAGAGAGCGCAUCCGCGGUGCUGUUUUCUUGUCCCAAUCUGUACACGAUCUCAAAGUCAUAGCCCAACAGCUUGACCACCCACCUCUGUUGAUCUAAGGUGGUGAGGCGUUGUUCGAGAAGAUGCUUCAGACUUCGAUGAUCAAUACACACUUCGAAUCGUUGCCCAAGCAAAUAACUCCUCCACUUGUUGACAGCCAGCACGACUGCCAUAAGUUCUUUCUCAUAUGUAGAUCGCCCCCGAGCGCGCUCCGACAAGGCCUUACUAAAUGCAAGUGGGCAUUCGUCCUGCAUCAAAACUGCCCCUAUCCCACAUCAAAACUGCCCCUAUCCCGCAUCCCGAUGCAUCGGCCUCUACCACAAAAGUCUUGUUGAAGUCCGGUAAGGCCAAUACUGGUGUUGUCGUCAUAGCGGCCUUGAGUUCCAUGAAUGCUCGAUCAGCUUCCUUUGUCCACUGAAACCCAUUCUUCCGGAGGAGUUUUGUCAAGGGCUCUGCAAUCUUUCCAUAGUUCUUUAUAACUUGCGGUAGUAGCCAGUCAACCCAAGAAAUCUCCGGAGCGCUCGUACAUGCUAUGGGCAUGGCCAAUCUACCAUACUCUUGAUCUUUUUUGGAUCGACUGCAACCCCAUGGAACGAGAUGAUGUGUCCCAAAUAGUCGAUCUCCUGCUUGCUGAAGGUGCACUUAUUCCAGUUCGCAAAGAUACGGUGCUCUAGCAAGGUCUGAAGGAACAAAUCGGAGAUGGUGCAUGUGUUCUUCCCAAGUCCUGCUGUAAAUCAAAAUAUCAUCAAAGAAAACGAGGACGAAUCGGAGUAGAGCAGACCUGAAAAUAUCAUUCAUCAGGGCCUGAAAGGUAGUAGGGGCGUUGGUGAGGCCGAAAGGCAUCAUCAAGAACUCAUAGUGCCCAUCAUGAGUGCGAGAAGCUGUCUUUGGCACGUCCUCAGCUUUGACCCGGAUCUGGUGGUAACCGGAUCUUAAAUCCAAUUUGGUGAAGUAGAUGGCACCAUGUAACUCAUCCAACAACUUAUCAAUAACAAGUAUGGGAUACUGAUCCUUGAUGGUGAUGUUGUUCAAGGCUCGAUAAUCCACACAAAAUCUCCACGAUCUGUCUUUCUUUUUCACCAACAGAACUGGAGAAGAGUAAGGGCUCGUACUGGGCUUGAUAAUGCCAGUGUCCAACAUCUCACGCACUAUGCGCACGAUUUCUGUCUUCUGAACUUGUGGAUACCGGUGAGGUCUCACAUUGGACGGACCGGCCCUAGGCACAAUCUCAAUCCUGUGAUCAUGGGAGCGCAAGGGAGGCAACCCCCGUGGCUCCUCGAAAAUCCUACUAAAUUCCUUGAGCAAUGGAUCAAGAGGUGGUGCAUGCUCACCUGUACUUGGGUGCUCAUGCUCCGAUUGAGCCGCCAUCAUAAUGUACGCACUCGCCCCCUGAUGUAGUAGAUGCUGAAUGGAGUGCAAGGUGCCGGACAGUACUAGUGUCUUUGAAUCGCCCUCCAGGUAAUAUCGAGCUCCAUCCACCAUGAACUUCAUGGUGAGCUUAUCCUAGUCGCAUAACACGGGUCCCAAACUGCUUAACCACUGAAUGCCCAGGACAAUAUCUGAACCUUGAAGCCCCAAUGGGUACAUGUCAACUUGAAACUGAUACCCCUAUAUCUGUACUUUCAUUGCUCGACAUAUCUCUUUACAUGAUAGCCGGUUGCCAUCAGCCACCAUCACCAGGAAGGGUGGUGCAGGUGAUGUAACACAACUGAGCUUCUUCGCUAAACGAUCACUCACAAAAUUGUGAGUGUUGCCGUUGUCAAUCAAAAUGGAAACUUGUCGACUGUCCACUGUCCCGAAGAUAUGCAUGGUCUGUGGAGAAGAAAAUCCGGACAGCGCAUGUAUCGAUAUCUCUGGAGACUUGAGCGAGUCAUGUUCCUCUUCCGAUGCCUCUUCCUUGACUGCUGAUUCCCCUUCUACAUCCACAGGCACCUCUAAUAAAAACAAUUGUUGUGUCUUACAAACAUGGCCCGGAACGAAUCGCUCAUCACAGUUGUAGCAUAGGUUCUUCUCCCGUCGUGCCUGCAUCUGUUCCCACGUCAGCCUUUUAAAGCCCACGCCCGUAGGUGGUCGAGGAGGCCCCGGCGCUAGGGUUGGUCGAAUAGGUACAACGGGGUUGGCAUAUCGGGCCACAGGUGUAGGCACCAAAGGCCUAUGAGGAGGGGUAGGAAGGAGACCCAUUCGAGGUGAAUUCCUCCUAACCCGAAGCAUCUUCUCUUCAUACAGGCACGCGAGACCCACGGCGUGCGCCAUUGUGGUUGGCCUAAAAAGCUUCACCUCCAUCCGAAUGUCAUCCCGUAAACCGCCAAUGAAACUACCAAGAAGAGCUUCUUCCGGCCAGUUAUGAACUCUGGAAGCUAGGCGUUCAAACUGGUUCUGGUAUUCACGAACUGUCCCGGUUUGCUGAAGCUUGGCUAAUGCUUCAUCAAAAUUUCAUACUCGGACGGUCCAAAACGAACACAUAGAUCCCGAGUGAAUUCCUGCCAAGUGACUCGAGGACGAGAAGAGGAGUACCACUGGAACCAUUGUAGAGCUUCGUCUUGCAAGUGGAAGGAGGCCAAAAGGACCUUCUUCCUCCGAGGUUCCUUGGUAACGAAAAAAUUACUCCGCCUUGUAAAUCCACCCUGUCGGCUCCUCACCCGAGAGACGAGGAAAAUCAACUCUGGUAUAACGGGGCUGUAUGCUUCCAUUCUCCAGCGCGGCCAGGCAGGGUUGGCGAGGAUUGCGAUCCGGAGUCCUGGUGACCGAAUCAGCAGUCUUCUCUUGCAUGAGCAACGACAUGUUGGUGGCGAUCGUGUCGAGGUGUGAAUCAAUGGACUCGAACUGAUCGGCAUGCUUGAGAAACGUCAUGUGCAUGGUAUGCAUGUCGACUUCAAGCUUCGACAAUCGGUCUUCAUUAGAGGUGGAACGGGUGGUGGCCAUGCUAGGCUCUGAUACUAAGUUGAUAGGAUCUGAGAUCCCACCAAGACUUCUUAUGAGAAAGAAGAGAGAGUGAUGGAAAGAACGUGGGUUGGGAAGAAGAAGAGAAGAGGAUAGUUAAAAAGAAAUAUUCUCUGCCUUCAUAAGUAACAGGGAUAUGGCUUUAUAGCCUCACAUCCAACAUUGCACCAACUCACCUUGGCCAUAAUUAAAAGACAAUUAGAAACUGACAAAUGACAACUGGAAAAAGAACUGAUAACUCAACCCCUCAACUCCUAACAAUACGCGCACAUCCCACAAGACUCCUAACCAUAUGCGCACGUCUUGCAUGUCCCGUAUGCCUUGAGCACGUGCGCCAACCCGGAGGGCAUAACUCCCGCAUCCGGUCAGAGUAACGUCUUGAAGUUAAGGAUAGAAAAUCCCUCGCAUGGUAGAUUUUAUAGAAUCCUGUUAGUACAGAGGAUUGUGGAGGGCUCGGCGUUAUGAGUAUCUUAAGCGUUCCGUGAUAGUGGCGUUGAGUUCUUGAGGAGAACAUUACAGUUCUUUGGCUUCUGAAUUUGUGAGUCCCUUAAUACUUUUGUUAUUUAAUAGAAGUCUUUUAUUUCUCUCCAAUAUAAUUUUCUCUCACAAAUAUUUUUGUAUUUGGUGUUUGUUCUUCUAAUACUGGGCAUCGGAGAACCUCCUCCGUUCUUCAAAACGAAACCUUAAAAUCCCAAAAAAAAAUUCAAUGCAGCACCCCUACCACUGGACUGCCACCUAAAGCCGCACGAAUCGGAAGGCCUCGACCGCCCCCAGAUUCGCCAAGAGCAGUGACGGAUCGAAAUCCAUCAUCUCUCCAACAAAUUUGGAUCCGGAAAGAGAGACAAAUCGAGCAAGAGAGUAGUUACCGUUUGGGUCCGCUUCAUGGCGAACGUCUCCAAAACAAUACUUCGGUCUCCGCGGCGUCGGCGAGAGACGGCGUCGGCGCCAACCCUGCGCUGACGAUCGGGGGAGCUCUUCGAGCACAGUUCUUGGAAAUUCCUCUGGAAUCCGGGAAGAAGUGUUUCGGGUAGCGGAUCAAGCGCGCGACCUUCCAUCUCCACGGCUCGACGGGAGAAAAUCUAGGGUUUUCUCCGGGAGGCUGGUGGAGGAGACGGGAAGAGAGCUAAGAGAGAGAAAGAGAGGCGCAGAGAAGAAAGAAGAGAGGAGAGAUCCGGGCCAAGGAGAGCGAACGCUGCAAAAAAGCGGCGAGGAUAUCCUGGUGAUCUUCCCGUGGCGGAUUUCAAGAAGUGCCCAUAAGUAGCAACUAAAAAAAAGGCAGUUAUCCGUUAUUAAGUCUCUCCGGGCGUUCGUAAUCGAUCAGGAUCAGAAAUCCUCAUCCGCUGUUAGAAGCUUGUAAGGAUAUUUUCUGGCGAGCAAUUGAAUCCCGACACGUCAACCUGUUUGUAUGUACUCUUAUUGGGACAUACAGAGAUUCUGGGCCCAGCACGAUGGAUUCUGUUUGGAACAUUACAAACGGAUCGGCUGCCUAAAUUAUACUCAAUAAAUAAGUGGAUACCAGAGCACCUAAGUAUAGCUAUACUCAAUAAUGUACAAUAAGGAGAGCAAAUAAGGGGUUGGUAGAGCACAUUGGUAUAGCUAUACUCAAUAAUAUACAUUAAGGAUUUUUAAGGUACAUGCCAUACUCAUAUCAUACAGGAAUAUAAAAACUAAACUAAAUUAUACUUUAGGCACACAUAGAAAUGCUCUUAAAAUUCAUACUAUUUUGUCUAGAUUACAAGGAUAUGCAACAGAUAAAUAUUCCUCCAUCAAUGUGUUUCACUAGGUUUGAGUUUAAAGGGUUAUCUAGAUUGUUUGUACUUUUCAUAUAUGGUUUUCCUUCAGAAUUAGUGCCUUUGCCUUUUUGUUGUGCCAAACUAGUUAGGAUUUCAAUUGAACAGAUGGAGAUAACAAUCUGAUUGAUGUAUAGAGCUAACAAGAGGGAGCCACAUCUAUUUUCAUAUGCCGACAAAAUCAUAAGGGCAUUGCAACAAGAUAUGCCUUGUUGGUGGGUGAUACCUAAUAGGUGCACCGAUGCACAAAAGCAUCUCGGGUUUGCUUCAUUGACCAUGCCAAUAAUCUAAAUCCAUGCAGCGGAAGAUCCUCUUAAACGAAGGUAUUUGUGCUUUUGGAUGGCGGCUCAUGAUUAGUCUUAUAAAAAUCUUAUAUUUCCUAAGGAGGUUUUAUCUCGUGGAAACACUCUUCAAUGGAACUUUAGCUUUAGCUGGUCGUAACUAAGAAACAUUAGUUUUUGCUUGGUGGGUCGAAAAUGCCAGACAUAUCUAUUUGUUCAAUAAACUAUUUGGAGCUCAUGUUGCCCAUGCCAAAUUAAUAGUAUUCUGGGCUGGAGCAAUGAACCUAUUUGAAGUAGCUCAUUUUAUAUAAGAGAUGGGAGGCUCAUUACUUCAAUUGAGAUAAUAAAAAAUUAUUUUAUUUUUUAAUUUUAGUCAGAACCUUAGGCGGUUCUCGAAAAAAGAUAGUAAAAAAAACUAUCUCUAAAAUCAAGACUAAACGGAAUAUAGAAACCAAUGCUUCCAUAGAUUCGAUCGUAGUAUACGGACAUGCAACAGAGCUCAAUUUUGUAUAGGAUGCACAGAAAUACUUGUGGGCACCUUGUCUAAGGUUCAUGUUGCCCAAUCCAAAAAUAGAUGUGAACCACUAAUCUUGUGCCCCUAUAGAUUCUCAACUGGCACCUUCAAGAUGUUUCAGAUAAUUUAUUUAACUCAGUCCCUAGACCAUCCAUAGAUGAAGACUCUUAUCAUAAAAGCAAGGGCUAGCAAAUUAGAUAGGAAGAAUGGCCAAAUAUUCUCCUCUCCAUUCCUACAUUCCUCUGCAUGCUGGUGGUCCCUUCAUAAAAUCAAUUGUUCCUGAAAACAUUAUCUCCAAAGCGGGAGAGAAUAGAUUCCAUCUUUCACCACCAGCAGUAACCAUCGAACAGUCGUAUGGAAAGAGCUCAGAAGCAUAUCGGAAUGUUGUGCCGGGGAUACAGGGAGUGCACAAAUCAUCUGUACCCAGUGGGACAGCACACAGGCUGUUUGAAACCAUAUACGUUCGAUCCAUGAACCCUGAUGUCUUCCUUAUGUUUGCAUGUCAAGUGCCCAUUUACGGAGUAGGCUGUUUGCUGACCAAGAAAACGGAUGUCAGAGGAAAGCAGCAUGCCAUGAUUCCUUGCCUCCUUGUCCUCGUGCGAGUUGAAAGGAGGGUACGACUCCGACGCUGUUCAAGCCCUUUGUGGUGCACCAUGAAGUAACAUGUCACCAGAGCUUAAAAGGAUCAAUGCAAAGAACCUCGGAAAGAUGGGGUUUGAUUUUCUUUUAUUUGGAUGGUGGUCUGAUCACUAAGGAAGGAACUAGUUUAGCUUAGAUUUAAGGAGCACCGAAGUAUCGACAAUCGGCAAGAAAAUGCAACCUCCGACUUGAUGACACUGGAUGAGUUGGCGAACGGCUGGUGGGCGGUUUUUGUCCAGAUUGAUCUGCUCGUAGAUAAAAAUCCAACCUACAAAUAGGAGAGAAAAUAUUGAAGGUUGUUGGACUUGAUCUGACGGGAGAUUCUCCAAUGCCCAAGUGAGAUCGAGUUAUGAGGAAUAACAGAAAUAUGAGAGAGCUAGUAGAGUAAAGUAAGAGAGAAAAAAGAUGUAUCUCGAGGUUCUCCAAGUCUUGGAAAAAAGGGCAUAGCUCUGUGGCUUGAAAAGAGUGGGUGGACGUACAAUAAUUACCUAAAUGUAAAGUAACUGUUCAAUACGUAGGACGACCUGUAACCAUCCUGUAAUAUGCCUCAUGAAUGCACAAGAUUGUAAUCGCCCCUCUCAAUAGGCUUUAAUCACCUUCAAUAUUCUUUCAAUCAGGAAUAUGUGGCCCAUUGUUACUGGUCGGCUCGCUUGAUCAUCAUUAUUGUUUGGCUGGUCUAGUUAGUCACAAACUGAUGAAUCUAGGCCACAUUAAAUGACAACAUUUGAUGUUUUUGCAAUUUCUUAUAGGAUGGUAACAUUGGCAAUCAUUUUAACCUUAGAAUAAUUGGCAUAGCUACCCCCAACUUCUGCCAUUUAGCAUUCCUAAUACAUCCUGGUAAAAUUAAUUUCUCAACCAAUGCAAAGAUCAGGUAGAUGUUGAUUGUUGACACACUAAACUUUUUUAUUAAUUUUUUUAUUUUGAAAUUACCACUUUAUGAUCAAUCAUAAUUAAGAUCGAUAUUAGAUGUUCAGAUUCUCCUCAUACCUCAAGCGAGAGAGCUCAUAAUUUGCUAAGACAUUAAUAUAAAAAAUAAAAAAGAAGAAGAGUGAAAAAUGAAUGAACAUUGAUGAGGUCAGGGUUUUCAGGCCAUGCCUCCGACCUCGUCCCCACCAAACUGGAGCAACAGAACGGCUGCAUCCCUUGCGAGGUAUUAUCCACUGCGGUUAAUUACGCGCCCCGAGACGGUUUUGCUCCACAAAAGGCAUCUCGCAAUGGAAAGGAUUUCCCCCUCCAUUUAAGGCACAGACCUUUCCGCUACUUAGUCGAUGUAGGACUAAGUCCGAGAUCCUUUAUUCCCAUAACAUCAACCUCCCCAGCGGGAAGGUCUGUGUUGGGGUCAAGAGCCCCUACCUGGCGCGCCAAUGAUGAGGUCAGGGUUUUCAGGCCCUGCCUUCGACCUCGUCCCCAUCGAACUGGAGCAGCAGAAUGACGGCUUCCCUUGCGAGGUAUUGUCCACUUUGGGGUUACUUACGCAACCCGAGACAGUUUUGCCCUACAAAAAGCGCCUCACAAGGAAAAGAAUUUUUCCCUCUAUUUAAGGCACAGACUUUUCCGCUAUUCAGUCGAUGUGGGACUAAGUUCGAGACCCUUUAUUCCUACAACAAACAUAAUUAAUAGUGUUUGUGAUACAAGAUAAAUGCAAAUAAAAGAAUUAAUUAUGAAAUGAAAGGAUGAGCAUAUAAUUUUUGCUGUUCCAAGGAUGGCCAAUUCUGUCACCCAAAUCUCAUAUAGAAGAGGAGUAACUCGACUUUUUUGCUUGUAAGCGAGACUUGAGCUAGUUUAAUGCUGGUAGAAAGACAUAUGCCACCAACUUCAUGAGUUACUUGAACUCAAACAUAUAGGAAGAGAUUGACCCUCACUUUAUGGACUCCUCGAUCUUUGUGAGUGAGCAAGUGGAACCUCCAGCUUGUAGGAACCUUAACAUCCAUACAGAAGUAGGUUGAACCUUCAUUUUAGUUCACUUGACAACUAUAUGAGAGCGGAUUGAACUUUCUCUAUUUGGGUAGAAUUGGAGCCAUAUCUAUUGAUGGUUGGAAAAAUCUUUCAAGAAAGGUUUUGGAUCCUUGAAUUCUAGAAAGGGAUGGUCAGACCAAGUGUUUUAUAGGAUUGCAAGAUAGAAGACAUCGAUGCCUAAAAAAGUAUUGUAGUGGUGAGACAUGUUAGCUAUAGAAAAUAGAUUUUCUUUUCCUUUUAUCAUCCAGAUUGGAUGUUAUUACUUGUAGUUUAUUACAUAAAUAACUCCUUUUUGGAUGAUUUUCUUGUAAAUAACCAUCUUAUAUCUAGAAAACUUCCUUUAAGAAGCUAAUUUUAAUAGCAAACCAUCCAUACAUAGCCUCUUGCUUGGAUAACCAGUAGUAGAAUAUAAACCUUUAGAGUAUCAAAAUAUAAAUUAUUUUAAUUGAAUCUUGAUCAGUUUAAUAUGUGUAACCAUUUACUAUAGUGUUUUGAGUCUACACAUUGCCCCGUGGAACUUGAUAAAAAUGGAUAUUUUUGUUGAUCCGAAUAAAUAUAAGUCGAUACUCAAUUGUUAACCUUCCCGUAGGACCUUCAUGUCAAUCAUAAUUAUACGUUUGGAUUGAUCAAUUUUAAACAUCAUAACAUAUAGUCCAUUGAGCAAGUUUGUCGACCAUGACAUAGACCAUAAUUUUAAAUUCAAAUAAACAUUGACCAUACAUUCAAACAGAUCAAUCAUUUGUAUCAAUGAUCAUAUUUUUAAAUAAAUAUAUCAUACUUAUUGACCAUAAUAGUGGCCAAUUGUAAAUCAUACUGAUCAGUCAUAACAAUUGCCAUAGACUUGAAUUGGUUGAUCAUCAUCAUAGUUACAGCAACGGUCGUACUGUUAAAUAGGUCAAUCAUACUUAUCGAUCAUGAUAAUAGUCAUGGUUUUGAAAAGACUGAUCAUGCAAAUCGAUCAUAAUAAUGGCUAUAGUUUCAAAUUGGUCAAUCAUUUCGAUCAACCAUGAUAGUAAACAUAUUGUUGAAUAGACUAAUCUUAUUUAUUAAUCAUGAUAAUACUCAUAAUUAAGCAGAUCAUUCACACUUAUCAACCAUGAUUAUUUUUAUCAACCAUGUAUUUAAUUAUGUUAUUGAUCAACAUAAAACUUUUACACUCUAUGUCCACAAGUGUUACUUUUUGCUGGCUUUUUCCAAUCAAUUUAAAUAAUGUUCCCCAAAUAUUUCGGUAUCCAAAUUGACUGGCUCUUCUAAGCCAAUGAUUCGCCAUAGAUUUAAAAUUAAAGGGGCAUAUGAAAUAAUCAUUCCUAGCCUAAAUAUAUGGUCUAUUUUUAAAUGAAUUGACCAUAUCCUUUGAAUAACCAAGCAAUUAGCUUUUCUAAGUCAAUUAUAAUGAUACCCCCUAAGUUUAUGAUCAAAAGAGUACAUGUAAUAAUCACUCAGCUGCAUGCACAAGCUAUCAAAUUCCCUCUUAAAAUGCAUCCAUAAAUGGUAUCACUCGGCCUCCGGUAAAUGUACCAAAAAUGUUUUCAUAUUUUAAAAUUCCCUCUUCAUUAUUGAUCAUAACCAAGAUUGACCUGAGAUGUCAAAAUUCUUUAUCAUGUCUCAAGUAAGAAGGUUGAGUGAAUUAAUAAUUAAUAAUGAUUACGAUAUAACAUAAACAGGAAUUAAAAAAUUAAUCAUGAAAAGAAGAGCAUAAAUAUCAUCUCCAUUUCUCCAAGGACAACCAACUUUGUCACUUGAACCUCACAUGGAAGGAGGAGAGUCGACUUCUUUACUUGUUGAUGAGACUAGAGCCGCUUCUUUGAUGGUAUAAUAGCAUCCACUAUCAAUAUUGUGAGUUACUCAAACUCUAUGCAUGGGAAGAUUGACCCUCCACUUCAUAGAUCUCUCAAAUUCCAUAAGCAAGCAAAUUAAACCUCCAGACUGCAUGAUUCUUGUCAGCAUCCAUCCUAAAAUAGAUUGAACAUUCACUCUAGGACAUUCAAUGCAUGCCCAAGUAAGAGCGGAUGAACUUUCAUUCUUCGGGUAGAAUUAGAGCUGCAUUCGUUGAUGAUUAGAAGAUCCUUCUACUAUUAAGACAUGCGGCACAUGCUUUGGAACAUAGAAUCUAGCAGGGGGUCAUCAGAUCAAAUGUUUCAUAGGAUUGUUAGAUGGAAGACGGUCGACACUUGAUAGAAGUGUUGUAGUGUUGAAUUGUGGAUGUUAUUUUCAGCAAAAACAUUUUUAGGAGGUAGUUUCUUGUCUGAUAACUCUAGUGAUUACCAACAGUUUUUUUACAUAUAUAACCUUUUCUUGCAAAUAACUAUCCUAUAUCCUGAUAAUUUCAUUUAGAAAGUUAACUUCAUUGGUGAACCAAUCAUAUACAGCCUCUUUGUCAGUAACAAGUGGCCAAACAUGAGCCUUUUUGAAGUAUCGAAACAUAAAUUAUUAACUAAAUCUUGAUCGGUCUCUAUAUUUUUGAUCAUUUACUAUAGUUGGUAGAUUGCCGAAUAAUUUUUGGAUGCAAACGUUCAUGGCAUCUGUUUGCUGUGGCUAUAGCUGGCUAACCUUUCGAUAUGAGAAUUCUUAUUGUUGGAUGCUGAAGAAAAGCACAUAAUUGCAUCAUCAAUCGUCUAAUGCCUUCAAAGAUAAGGUUGAUCUGUUUUGUAAACAUCUGUAAAUAGGAUCAUAAAACAACCAUGAAGGGUGGCGUACCUGGAUCCAUGGAUUUUCUGAAUGAUCAAGCUUCGUUUCUCCCUCUUGGCCACUGUUCAAACACCCAGUGAUGGAUUCCGAUUUUUGUGUUCACGUUAUGGGCAGAGAGUGAGACCCCUUCAAAUAUCCUACCAUCAAGGAUAUUAUGCUUUCACUUCUCUAGGAGUUAGUUAUGGUAAUAAUCCUAUAACUGACCAUGUUAUGGUCAUGUGGGUCAAAACCCAACAUUCUCCCACUUGGCCCAUAUAACCAUACUUUGGUUAGAAUGAUAUAAACAUUAGGUGCGCAUCAUUCUAAUCCACGGUCAAUUGGGUUAUCAUAAUACUAUAAUUAAACAACUUACUAAUGCGAGUCAAGGCGGUUCCAUAUCAACAUAAUGACAUAGUUCCUUCCAAGUACUACAACACUAGCAAAUUAUUUAACCAUAGUCCAUAAAUGAGAAGUUUCUAUAAUGGUCAAACAUUAUGUCUUUAUCAGAGAUAAUUCCUGUGAUCAUACAUUCAAACUCAUACAUGUACAUAUAUUUGAAGAACAAAAAAAUCAGAAACAUAAUUAAUUAUAUCUAAGUGUGAAGAAAUAAACAUAAUACAAUCCUCAAUUAAUAUCAUGGAUUACAACUAAGACCCAUUCUUUCAACAUGCUCUUUAAAAGUCUUCGGUUGUAAACCUUUUGUCAAAGGAUCUGCAAUUAUGAGCUCUGUCCUCAUAUUUACUAUAGACACAUUUUGUUUCUAAACUUCCUCCUUGACAACGAAAAAUUUAAGCUCAAUGUGCUUGGCACCAUUAGAAUAUUUGUCGUUUCUGGAGAAAUAGACGCUGCAGUAUUGUCACAAAAGAUUCUCAGCGGCCUGGCAAUAGAGUUGACAAUCCCAAACCCCGAGAUGAAGUUAUGUAGCCACAAACUAUGAACCGUAGCCUCAAAGCAUGCCACAAAUUCUGCUUCCAUGGUGGGCGAAGCAGUGCUUGUCUGUUUGGCACUUUUUCAUGAGAUUGCUCCUCCAGCUAAUAGGAACAAAUAGCCAAACGAUGACUUUCUACUAUCCACACAUCUAGCAAAGUCCGAAUCCGAAUAGCCAAUUAUCUCAAGGCUAUCUGACUUUCUAUAUGUAAGCAUGUAAUUCUUUGUUCCUUGCAAGUAUCUCAUUACCUUCUUUGCAGCUUUUCAGUGAUCCAUCCCUGGAUUACUUUGGUAUCUGCCUAGCAUUCCAACUGCAAAACUGAUAUCUAGUCUAGUACAGAUCCGAGCAUACAUCAAGCUACCAACCGCAGAAGCAUAAGGUAUAUUUUUCAUCUGCUUACGUUCCAAUUCAUUCUGUGGGCAUUGCAUGAGACUAAAUUUAUCUUCUUUCUAAAUUGGAACAACAAUGGCUGAACAGUUCUCCAUACCAAAUCUCUCUAGAACUUUAUCUAUAUAUGCCUUUUGAGACAACCCUAACAAUUCACGUGAUCGAUCACGAAAUAUUUCAAUGCCUAUCACGUAGUUGCCUCAUUCAUAUCUUUCAUUUCAAAGUUCUUUGAGAGAAAAAUCUUAGUUUCAUAUAAUAAGCCAAGAUCACUACUGGCAAGCAAUAUAUCAUCAACAUAUAGAACUAGAAAGAUAAACUUGCUCCCAUUGACCUUCAGGUUUAUACACCGAUCAACAAUGUUUUUCUUAAAACCGAAGGAAGUGAUGGUAUCAUUGAACUUGCGAUACCAUUGUCGGAAAGCUUGUUUAAGACCAUAUAUUGACUUCUUUAAUUUGCAAACCAUGUGUUCUUUUUCUUUUAAUGAAAAACCUUCGGGCUGGUCCAUAUAGACUUCUUCAUCUAAACUCCAAUUCAGAAAAGCAGUUUUCACGUCAAUUUGGUACAACUCUAAAUCAUAAUGUGCAACCAAAGCCAUAAUGAUUCUAAAUUAGUCCCUUUUAGAUAGAGGAGAAAAGGACUUUUUAUAAUCAAUGCCUCCUUUCUGAGUGAAAUCUUUGGCCACUAGUCUGGUUUUAUGUCGUUCAACAUUGCCCUUUGAAUCGAGCUUGGUCUUAAAGACCCACUUACACCCAACUGUCUUAUAACCUUCGGGCAAAUCAACGACAUCCCAGACUUAAUUCUGAUCUAUUGAUUUUAACUCAUCUUUCAUGGCAUCAAUCCAUUUAGUAGAAUCAAUACUUUCUAUGGCUUGUUUAAAAGAAACCGGAUCUUUUCUUGUCCCUAUAUCAAAAUCAAAUUCUUGUAGAUAAACCAUAUAAUCAUUUAGAAAGGCAGAUCUUCUUUCUCUUUGAGAUCUCCUUAAUGUCAUCCCUUGUGGUUCUUCUACAACUUGUUCAGUGGUGAUAACUUCAUUAUGGAGUAUUUGGUCAUUAAUUUGUUGUUCAUUGUUAUUAAACUGUGACAACUGUAGGAACAACAAUUUUCUUAGAAGUCAUAGGUAAAGGGACUUGCACUCUAACUUCUUGAAUUUUCACAUUUUGUGGUUUAUCACUCCCACUGGUUUUACCAUUUUUAAUGAAUUUGACAUUACCGGUCUCUAUAAUUCUCGUACUAUGGUUAGGACAGUAAAUCCUAUACCCUUUGAAUUUUUCGGGAUAACCUAUAAAGUAUCCACUAAUCAUUCUAAAAUCCAAUUUCUUUUCAUGUGGAUUAUAAAUUCUCACCUCUGCUGGACAAUCCCAAACAUGCAGGUGUCUUAAACUCGGUUUCCUUCUUGUCCAUAACAAAAGGAAUUUUUGGAGCUGCCUUACUAGAAACCCGGUUUAAUAUGUAUACAGCGGUCUUAAGGGCUUCCAUCCACAACGAUAUGGGCAAUGAAAAAUUACUCAACAUACUCCUAACCAUAUCCAUAAGUGUAUGAUUACGCCUUUCAGCUACUCUAUUCUGCUGUGGCAUUCCCGACAUAGUGUAUUGAGCACGUAUACUGUUCGUCCGAUUUCUGUUCACCUAAAAAUAUGCUAAACUAAUCAUUGUUAGAACCGACAAAUAAAUUUUAAUUUAAUUUUACUCUUACCUUUCCUACUCGAAGAAUAGCGGUUGUAAGAGGUCGAUCCACAGGGAAGCGAUUGGAGUUGCAUAAAAAUUAGAACGUUCACUCGGAUUUGAAAUUGAUUUUUGAAUGAUAAAAGGAAAACAUUAUUUUAAGGAUGUUGAUGGAUUCUCUAGUCUACCGGAGAAUGUUUUCUAUUUGAAAAUAAACAAAGAAAAGAAAGAAAACUUGCAAUUAAAAUUUGAUGCGGAGUAGAAGUCGAUUUCUAAAGAUAGAAUAUAAAUUAAAAUCGUCAAUCGAACUGCAAAGAUUUAUUCCAAGGUUAUCUUAAAAUUAAGAAUUCUAGAAUGCAUAUAAUAAAUUAUAAAAUAUUAAAUUAACACUUAGACAUGUAUUGCAUAAAAGAAAAAUUAAAAGAUUGCAUAAAAAAAUAGAAAUUAAACUGAACCUAGACCAUGGAUUGCAUGAAAGAAAAUUGAUUGAUUUCAUAAAAAGGAAUGAUUCAAAAAGUAAAGAAAAAUUGAAGAUGAAGCCUAAAGCUUAUUUCUUCUGCAAAUUAAAAUAAAAUAAAAUAAAAUAAAAUUUCAUUUUCUCUCCCUUUCUCUCCAUUUCUCUCCCACGGUAGAACUCAACAUAAGAUAUAAUUUUUUUAUUCCUUUCUCCCCCCCAAGAACAGAGCAAUGCUCUGUUUUCCUUCUCUUUUCUUUGGACCCGCCGGCCACCACCUCCGCCUUGGGCCAGCCGACUACCCUCCUCUUAUAGCCCUUGGAGAUGCGUUGGGGACGAGCUGGCAGCACGGUGAUUGUGGAGCGUUGGGAUUUCGGGAGAAUCACGGGCGGAAGGGAUGUUGCAAAUGGGAUCCGCUGGCUGGAGAAGAAACGGAAGGAGGGAGAGGGCGGACGCUGAGGACGUUGAUCCGAAAAGGAGGAAAUGCGGGAUGCUGUCGCGGAAGGAAGGAGGCGCGCGUGGAGGCAGAGGGCGUCAAUCCAUGGGAUUACGGGCUGCAUUUGAAAUGGGCGGAAGAAAUGGCUGAAAAAUUGCUCGGGAUCCUUGGAUGCUUGAGCUCACGGGAGAGGCGGACACUGAGAGGAGGUGUUGAUGAAGCGGAAGGAGGGAUCUGCGGGAUGAAUGCUUCACAGAUGGAAGCUGGGAGGAGGCGAUCACACGCGGACUCGGUUGGAUGUCAUUCACGGACGCGUGAUGCAGGGGCGGGCGUGGGACUGCUGGGAGGAAUCUUGGAGGAGGCGGACUCGGACGAGCGCGUGAGCUUCGUGGGAUGCUAGGAGGAGCUGAUCUGCCGUGGAUCCGGGAAGAGUUGGAGGUGUCGUGGACGGCGGGAUGGCAGUGGGAGAAGGAAAUGAGANNNNNNNNNNNNNNNNNNNNNNNNNNNNNNNNNNNNNNNNNNNNNNNNNNNNNNNNNNNNNNNNNNNNNNNNNNNNNNNNNNNNNNNNNNNNNNNNNNNNNNNNNNNNNNNNNNNNNNNNNNNNNNNNNNNNNNNNNNNNNNNNNNNNNNNNNNNNNNNNNNNNNNNNNNNNNNNNNNNNNNNNNNNNNNNNNNNNNNNNNNNNNNNNNNNNNNNNNNNNNNNNNNNNNNNNNNNNNNNNNNNNNNNNNNNNNNNNNNNNNNNNNNNNNNNNNNNNNNNNNNNNNNNNNNNNNNNNNNNNNNNNUCCUAGUGGAUGAGUGUUGUCUCUUGAGGGUUUGCAGUGAAGUUACCCACAAACUUCAUCAGUCAGAAAUUUCCAAUUUUUAACUCAAAAUUUGAACAAGUAUUACUGUAUGAACUUAGAAUUGCAAGGACAAUAAAGACUUAUUGCUAUCAUAUUUAAGCAGACUCUAACUCAAGUUCCAUUACUCCCAUCUAUCUGCUAACAAGUCAAGAAUGUAGUGAGGUGCAAGAUAGUAUCAUAUAAAUGAGUGGCUUUUACUUACUUCCACAUGAUCACUCUAAUUUUCAAGACUUUCUAGAGUUAAAUGGUAAUGAACACCCCAGAUUUAUUUAUUUAUUUAUUUUUUUCAGAUUGAAUGCUAAGAAGAAUGACUUGUGCAAUAUCUAGCCUUAUUAAGCAUUUUAGCUGACCUAUAUAGCGAGUGUUAGGCCAAUGACUCCCGAUCCAGAUGGCACAGGGCACUAGGUGUAGAGACACCCUAACAGGCUUAAUAACUCAAGUUAACUAGGCUUUAAGGCCAAAUUAAUCACUCAGAGUUUAAUCUCAAUCAUCCUCACCUUUUUACGCGAACACUCGCUGCUUGCCAGGCAAGAGGCCCGGUUACUCAGUGAGAAGACUUAAAAUAAACUCAUUAUUUUAUUUUAUUUUCUCUCUCUUUUUUUUUUAGGGUGUUCAUCACACAUAUAACUUUAAAUUAUCCUGAAGAUUAAAAGUAUUCAUAUUAGUUGCAAGUAUACGUACCCCACUAUUCAUAUGUUUACGUGUAGGUGCUAAAUCAUCUUGUAUCAUGGUAGCAGAAGAUAAGUGGGACGAAAACUCAAGCUAGAACUGCUAUCAUAUUUCUUAACUCAAAGCUAUUGUCAAAGCAAUUCCUAGUUUGUACAGCCAAAAAGAUUAGAGUUUGAGUUAAAAAUUUGAAAUCUCUUUUUUUCUAAUUUUAAUUUUUUUUAAUUGCAUAGAAAAAUAAAAAAUCAAAAAUAUUCUUAUCUCCAUACCUAAAUCUAACAUUGUCCUCAAUGUUAAAAAAGAUUUAAAGCAGUAAUAGGACAGAGGAGAAGUUACCUGAUAUGGGUGGGUAAAUUGAAAAUUGGGGCAAAAUACCCCCAAACCUACAUGUUAGUAAUUUUUUUUAUUUUUUUUAAUAAUAUUUAUAUGUUGGGUUGCCUCCCAAAGAGCGCUAAGUUUUAUGUCUUCAGCCAGAUAAUUCUAAUUCAUUUAUGAUAAACAGGGUCGGUCAGAAGUGUCUCCUCGACUUCUGGACUCAAAUACUCAAGGUAUGGUUUUAAACGAUGUCCAUUAACUUGAAACGACCUACCAUCUUUAGUAUUGCAUAUUACUACCGCACCAUGCGGAUGCACUUUCUCUACCGUGUAUGGGCCAAUCCAGCGAGAUUUAAGUUUUCCAGGGAAUAGAUGUAAUCGAGAAUCAUAUAAGAGAACUUUUUGUCCUUGGUGAAACUCUUUACGAGUAAUCAUUUUAUCAUGCAUGACUUUCAUGCGAUCCUUGUACUUCUUAACACACUCGUAAGCAUCGUUCCUAAUUUCUUCAAGCUCGUCGAGCUGAAGCUUUUUAUGUUCUCCUGCCUUGUCGAGAUCGAAAUUUAGGCGUUUGAUUGCCCAAUACGCCUUGUGUUCUAACUCGACAGGUAAAUGGCAAGCCUUGCUAUAGACAAUCCUAUAUGGGGACAUUCCAAUUGGUGUUUUGUAGGCCGUUCGAUAUGCCCACAAUGCAUCUGUUAACCUAAGGGACCAAUCCUUUCGAGAUGGAUUGACAGUUUUUUCAAGGAUGGUCUUAAUUUUUCUGUUGGAAAUCUCAACUUGUCUACUUGUUUGUGGAUGAUAUGGUGUACCGACCUUGUGGGUGAUGUUGUACUUCCUAGCAAGGGCUUUAUAAAUUCUAUUGCAAAAAUGUUUCCCCCCAUUACUAAUGAUAGCCCAAGGGGUGCCAAAGCGAGCGAAGACAGACUCCUUAAGAAACUUGAUCACUACUUUAUGAUCAUUGGUCUUACAUGCGACAGCCUCAAUCCACUUGGACACAUAGUCAACAGCUAGGAGUAUGUACUGGUGCCCAAAUGACAUAGGAAAAAGACCCAUAAAAUCAAUACCCCAAACAUCAAAGAUUUCUACAAUUAAGAUCGAGUUCAGAGGCAUCUUAUUUUUUUAAAAAAUUUUUUCUAGUCUUUGACAUCGGUCACAUGAUUUGCAAUACUCGUGUGAGUCAUGAAAUAGUGUGGGCCAAUAGAAUCUGCACUGCAAAACCUUUGCAGCCGUCUUUUUACCACUGAAAUGACCACCACAAGCGUGGUCAUGAUAAAAGGAAAGGACUUUCCUUUGCUCGUAUUCAGGGAUGCACCGUCGGAUGAUCUGAUCAGGGCAAUAUUUAAAUAGGUAUGGUUUAUCCCAAAAAUACCACUUUACACGAGCUAGGAAGCGGAAUUUCUCUUGUUUGGUCCAUGAACUGGGCAUUCGUUCAGUAACUAGAUAGUUGACUACAUCAGCAUACUAUGGAACAUUGGUAUGGGAAAUCAUCAUUAAUUGUUCAUCAGGGAAGGUCUCGGACACAGGCAUGGAUUCUCCAGAUGAUUCAACAAUUAAUCUGGACAAGUGGUCAGCUACAACAUUUUCAGAUCCCUUUUUAUCUCGUAUUUCAAGAUCAAAUUCUUGAAGCAAUAGGAUCCAACGAAUGAGUCUUGCCUUGGCAUCCUUCUUUGUAAGAAGGUACUUAAGGGCAGCAUGAUCAGAAUAAAUGAGGACCUUGGAUNNNNNNNNNNNNNNNNNNNNNNNNNNNNNNNNNNNNNNNNNNNNNNNNNNNNNNNNNNNNNNNNNNNNNNNNNNNNNNNNNNNNNNNNNNNNNNNNNNNNNNNNNNNNNNNNNNNNNNNNNNNNNNNNNNNNNNNNNNNNNNNNNNNNNNNNNNNNNNNNNNNNNNNNNNNNNNNNNNNNNNNNNNNNNNNNNNNNNNNNNNNNNNNNNNNCUCCUUAUGAUGGGUGCUGAAGUUAGUUCAGACUUUAGUCUUUCGAAAGCAGUUAUACAAAUUGACGAAAAAUUAAAAGUAGCAUCUUUCGCCAACAAAUCGCAUAAGGGUUUCGACAAUUUACUGAAAUCCUUGAUAAAGCGGCGGUAAAAACCCGCAUGCCCUAAAAAAGAUCUGACUUCCCUAACAGUUUUGGGAGGUGGCAAUUUAGCAAUUAAUUCUACUUUGGCCUUAUCCACCUCAAUUCCCCUUUGUGACACAAUGUGUCCUAAAACAAUACCUGAUUCUACCAUGAAAUGACACUUUUCCCAGUUAAGAACUAAGUUUUUCUGUUUACAGCGUUCUACAACAAGUGUCAAGUGGUGUAGACAUUCCUCAAAAUUGGAUCCAAAUACAAAAAAAUCAUCUAUGAAAACUUCUAAAAAUUUCUCCACCAUGUCGGAGAAAAUACUCAUCAUACACCGUUGGAAUGUAGCUGGUGCAUUACAUAGCCCAAAAGGCAUGCGACGAUAGGCAAAAGUGCCAUAAGGACAGGUGAAUGUGGUUUUCUCUUGAUCCUCACGUGCGAUAGGGACUUGGUUAUAUCCAGAAUAACCAUCGAGGAAACAGUAAUGGGAGUGGCCAGCUAGCCGUUCGAGCAUUUGAUCGAUGAAGGGUAGAGAAAAGUGGUCUUUCCUAGUCAUGGCAUUAAGCUUCCUAUAGUCGAUGCAUACUCGCCAUCCCGUUUGGACUCGAGUAGGGACUAACUCAUUGUGAUCAUUUUUCACCACAGUGAUGCCAGACUUUUUAGGUACGACUUGAACUGGGCUUACCCACUGACUAUCAGAAAUAGGAUAUAUAAUUUCUGCAUCUAAAAGCUUGAUGACCUCGGCUCGAACUACGUCCUUCAUGAUUGGAUUAAGUUGCCUUUGUGGUUCUCUAGAAAUUUUUGCAUCUUCUUCUAGAUGGAUUUUAUGUUGGACCACAGAAGGACUAAUCCCCUUAAUAUCAGCUAUAGACCAACCGAUAGCUUCCUGAUUCUUCCGAAGGAUACUUAACAGCUUCUCUUUCNNNNNNNNNNNNNNNNNNNNNNNNNNNNNNNNNNNNNNNNNNNNNNNNNNNNNNNNNNNNNNNNNNNNNNNNNNNNNNNNNNNNNNNNNNNNNNNNNNNNNNNNNNNNNNNCAUUGGAUGACACUAGCUGAGAUUCCGAAAUAGGCAAUGAUUCAAACUUGGUGGCCUAUCUGCUAGUAUCCAUCACAGGAAUGGAAUCUAACAAUGCAUUAACCUCUUGACUUGACUCACAAUCUUGACCAAAAUUAGCCAAACAUCUUUCUCAUGGGUCAGAAUAACUCGACUCUUCAAAAGAACUGCUAAUUAUAUUCUCAAUCAUGUGAAUUUCUUCCAAAUUGUCCAUCUCAGUUGACUGACUACUAUUAUGAAAAACNNNNNNNNNNNNNNNNNNNNNNNNNNNNNNNNNNNNNNNNNNNNNNNNNNNNNNNNNNNNNNNNNNNNNNNNNNNNNNNNNNNNNNNNNNNNNNNNNNNAUCGGGAUGUGACUUUCUGGAUUUUUUACUGGUUCAGUUUCAAGGAUUACAAAAUCCACAGGGUAGUAGAACUUAUUAACUUUUACAAUCACAUCCUCCAUAAUUUCUUUGGGGUACUUUACAGUCCUAUCUGCUAACGAAAGAGUGAUGUUUGUGGGUUUUAAUUCUCCCAAACCUAACUCUGUGUAAAUAGAAUAGGGUAACAGGUUCACACUAGCUCCUAAAUCUAGGAGAGCUCUUUGAAUGAUGGUUUCUCCUAUUUUAAUUUUAACAGUGGGGCAACCAGGGUCCUUGUAUUUUGGGACAAUCUGUUGUUGAAUAAGAGAUGAGGCUUGUGCCACCAUCACAGCUUGCCUAGGAAUACUGGUUUUCCUUUUCACCGUGGUUAGGUCUUUUAAGAAUUUUGUGUAGGAGGGGAUCUGUCUGAUGACAUCUAGGAAGGAUAAAUUUAUUUGGACAUUUUUAAAGACUUUCAUGAUUUCAUCGUACUGAGAUUUUUUCUUUGAGUCUUGUAGUCUACUAGGAAAGGGAGCCUUAGGUGUGUACGUCUCUAUUGGUUUCUCCUCUAUUCCUUGUGUUCCCUAUUCUUGUGCCUUUUUCUGAGUGGGGUUCGGUUCAUGCUUUUCUUCUUUUUCUUGUACAGGAAGUUGGACUUUGUUGUCCACUUGCUUGCCAGACCGUAAAGUGGUAAUUGUCUGGACUUCAUGGGUAGGGUUUCCAUUAGAAUCAAUCUGAAACUGGCCUCUUGGCCCUUGAUUCUGUUGCCUACUAGGGUUAGGCACUGGCUGACUGGGCAAUUCACCUCUCUUCCUAUCCCCUAAAGAGUUAGCUAUUUGGCUCAGACUAACCUUAAGUUUUGCAAUCGCUUGCGCAUGGAAUUGGUUAGUCUGGGUUUGAACCAUGUUGGUCUGUUGUUGCUGUUGGAUGAAGUCUUGUUGCUGCUUCAUCAUGUUAUCCAUCAUGGCUUGCAAUGAUGUAGUUUGCUGAGGGAUAGGGGCACUAUAAGUAGAAAUAGGUGGAGCCAAUGAUUGGUUUAUUUGUGAUGGAUCUAUCUUGAAAAAAUUCUUCUGAAAACCUGGUGGACCACCUUGAUGCUGAAUAGGUUCAUUUUACUUGUAUGAGAAAUUUGGGUGGAACCUAUUAUCAGGAUGGUAGACUGGGCUGAAUGAAUUGGGAGUGGAUUUCUUAAAGGCAUUAUAUGAAUUAAGAGCAUUUUCUUGCUCAGCCUUAAUUUUGGGUAAACUAGGACAACACUCCACUAGAUGCUCAGAACUGUUACACAAGAUACAUAAGCCCUGUGGCUCGUGUUCCACUUUCAUGAUGGGAUUUAACUCUUUGUAUGAGUUCAAGUUAGUGGAAACAGUAAAAGCAUCCAACUUUUUGCUCAGAUUGUUCACCCCAUUCACCAGAUUGGACAUAACAUUCUUGAGUUCUGGGUUUGUUUUUAUUCCGUAUGUACUUGGUUCUCUAGACCCAAAAUUAUCUCUAUCUACCUCCUGACCGUAACUACUCCAAUUUUGAGCAUUUUCAGCUAAGUCCACAAGGAACUCAUAGGCUUGAUCAGGGGUUUGGUUCAUGAACCUACCCUUAUUCAUGGAUUCAAUCAUGUUUCUAUGUGCUGGAGGUAAUCCUUUGUAAAAGAAAUGCACUAGAUCAGCCUUGUCAAGCCCAUGGUGCGGGCAUUUGACCGAAAGAUCAUGGAAUCUUUUCUAGAGUUGGAAAAAUUCCUCCUCAGAUUUUUCUCUAAAAGUUCUAAUAGCAUCCUUAAUUUUUUCAGUCUUUACCAUGGGAUAGAAUUUAGCCAUGAACUUUCUAGAUAGUUGUUCCCAUGAUGUAAUGGAAUUAGAAGCAAGAGAAUACAACCAUGCAGCGGCACGAUCCUCUAAAGUCAUGGGAAACAACCUUAAUUUAAUACCCUCUUCAUCUAAGUUUUGAUUUCUAAACGUUUGACAGAUUGUCAAAAAUUUGUUUAGAUGAAUAUACGGUUGUUCACUCUCAAAUCCUUGAAAUUUGGGUAACAUGUUUAUUGUUGCAGCCCGAAUCUCGAAUUGGGCUGCAUUAUUAAUUGGUAAUACUUUGCAAGUAGGGGGACUAGCGGAUGCGGGUGCGAACAACUCAUUCAAAGUUCUAAUAUGUUCACCCAUUGUAGAGAUUGAUGGUUGGCUUACAAUUCGCUGAUUGUGAUAAAAAGUUCUAUCAAUCUUAGGAUCAAAUGGUGUCAACUUACCCCUUAAUGACCUUCUACCAUGCAUACAUUAUCAACAAUUCAGUAGAUUUGACUCCUAAAAUGAACGAAAUCCUAAGAGAAAAGAAGGGCUAGACACAGAUGACCACAACCAACACCCCCCAACAAUUUGACCCUAUUAGUCUUAGAAUUAAGUGAGGUUUAGUAGCUUCUUAAAUCUAGUUGCACAGAGAUUUAUCAGGUUAAAAAGUUUCUGAAAUUUGCUCUGGAUUAGACAGCUCCUAAUCUUCCUUUCAGAUUAAGCUUGAGCUUACCAGUUAAGCGAUCCAGUAACCAGCGACCAGAAAAGUUUCGAGGUGUGUGGUGGUGCCAGAAGGGAUACACCGAUACCACAAUACCCGUAACAGUUCUCACUGUUGCAAAACUUUCCUAGACAUCACCAAUUACUAAAUUCUCACUGGAGUGGCUUUCAGCCGCUUCUUUCCAAUAGCCUAAUUGAGCUCGAAAAUCCUAAGGCCAACGUCUAAUUGAUUUUAAUUUAAUUUGGCUUAGGAUAUGUAUGCAAGGUGGUGAUUUUUGGGCUAAGGACAGGUAAUGACUUCCCGACCUUAUCUUUUUAAUGGGUUUUGCCCUUAAAUUAUUUUAUGCAAAUGCUUAAUACUAAAUGCAGCAAAUAAUCAAUGAUUUUUUUAAAGUUUAUGGAAUGUCAUUAGGUUGUAUUGAUUAAAUUAGCAAGCAAUCUUUUUAAUUUUAUGUUUUUUUAUUUAUUUAAAUUUUAAAUAGGAAUAACUUGAAUGUAAACUAAAAACUAAUCCUUCUGCAUCAGUCAAUCUCCGAAUGCUCGUUGAAUAAGCUUUGGAGAUUACUCCGUGAGGAGCCCCAAUAGAGGUAUGAUAACCUCGGAGGAUUGCACCCUAUUAAUUACUAGCAAAAAUAAUAAUUUUUUUUAAAUUUUUUGAUUUAAUUAUUUUUUUUAAAUUUAAAUUUCAAAUUUCGAAUUUCAGAAUUCAAAUUUCGAAUUUAAAUUUUUAAAUUUUAGAAUUUUGGAAUUUUUUUUAAUUUUUAUUUUUUUUGAAUUUUAAAUUUUUUUUUGAAUUUUAAAUUCUGAAUUUCAAAUUUUAGAAUUUAAUAGCUACAAAAUUAUUAACUAAAAAUAAUCAAAACAAGAAACAUUAAUAAAAAUAAUAAAAAAAACUUACUACCGGAGUGCAUUCACUUCGGGCAUUCAAAAUUCGAUUUGAUCUUCGUGAUCGUUCUUGCUUCUCGAUUUGCCUCCCCGGCAACGGCGCCAAAAUUUUAUUGUCGGACUCCUGUUUACCUAAAAAUAUGCUAAACAGAUCGUUGUUAGAACCGACAAACAAAGUUUAAAUUAAUUUUAUUCUUACCUGUUCUACUCGAAGAAUAGUGGUCGUAAGAGGUCGAUCCACAGGGAGGCGAUUGGAAUUGCAUAAAAAUUAAAACGUUCACUCGGAUUCGAAAUCGAUUUUUGAAUGAUAGAAGAAAAGCAUUAUUUUGAGGAUGUUGAUGGAUUCUCUAGUCUACCGGAGAAUAUUUUUUAUUUAAAAAUAACGAAAAGACAGAUACUUAAAUCAAAGUCUAAUGCAGAGUAGCGGUCAAACAGCAAAAAUAAAAAUAUUUAAAUAAGAUUACCAGUACACAUAAAAUAAAUUGCAGAAACUGAAACUUAGAAUAUAAAUUGCAUAAAAAGAGAUUUAUGGAUUGCAUUAAAAGGACAAGUACAAAAAUAAAGUGAAGAUUGGAAGCCUAAUGCUUCCUUCUUCUACAGAACAAAACAUAAAAACAAAGAAAGAAAAAUAAACAAUUGCAUUGUUUCUCUCCCUCGAUAGAGCUCCCAAAAAAAUAACAUAAAAUAUUAUUUGGAAAACAGAGCUCUUCUUCCUCCCUUUUUUUUCUUUCUUUCUUCUCCAAAAGAAACAGAGCUCUCCCCUGUUCUUUGGUUCAACACCCAGCCGACUCCUCCUCUUUCUUGGACUCGCUGGCCACCACCUCCCCUCCGUUUCACAGCCGAGAGCCCCUUCUUAUAGAUCGCCCGAGCCUUGAAGCCGGUGAUGGAUCCCUGAUGGAGUAACAGUCGCGGAUUUUGGGGGAUUUGCCAGGACACGGAGCGGACGCGGGAGCUUGAUCCGUGGAGGGGGUGAUUCACGGGAAGAAGGAGAGGGCGGACGCUGAGGACGCCUCAAAUUCGGAAGGGGGAAGUGGGGAUUUCUCGGAGGAAGGCGUGGAAGCUGGAUGCGGACGGAUGGAUGCUGUGACUGGAAGAAGAGGAGAUGGGAGGCUGAGACGGUGGCUUGAUCACAGCACGGGAUCACUGGGCGGAUUGCGGAGUAGGGGGUUGAUGAUCCAUGGAGCUCGGACGCGACGUCGGAGGCUGGGAUUGUGGGAUGCUGUGAGGAGGUGAUGACCCAUGGGCUGGUGGGAGGAGCCGAUCACGGCCACGGUGGAAGCUUGGAUCACGGCUUGACUUCGGAAGGGAGGAGACGCGCUGAAGAUGGAAGAUGCCACGGGAUGAUUCGGGCGUUGAUCAUGGAAGAUGCUUGGGGGAUCCGAUUGCUGGGGUACGGAAGAGAUGGGUGCUGUGGGAUUCGGAAGGUUGGAGCUGGGGAGGAUGGAUGACCGUGAUGCACUGCGGGAGGAAUCAGAUCGCGGAAGGAUUUGGCUGCGGCUGAAAUGCGGGAUGAGCUGAGCUCAAACCCAAUUUUAUUGGGUCUCUUGGAUUACUUGCACUCAAACACAAA